rnacentral:rRNA from 1 species
UACGUAGGGUGCAAGCGUUUGUCCGGAAUUAUUGGGCGUAAAGAGCUCGUAGGCGGUCUGUCGCGUCUGCUGUGAAAACUCGGGGCUUAACCCCGGGCCUGCAGUGGAUACGGGCAGACUAGAGGUAGGUAGGGGGAGAAUGGAAUUCCCGGUGUAGCGGUGAAAUGCGCAGAUAUCGGGAGGAACACCGGUGGCGAAGGCGGUUCUCUGGGCCUUACCUGACGCUGAGGAGCGAAAGCGUGGGGA